GACGAACGCUGGCGGCGUGCUUAACACAUGCAAGUCGAACGUGAUUUUUGUGGAAAUUCUUUCGGGAAUGGAAAUGAAAUGAAAGUGGCGAACGGGUGAGUAACACGUGAGCAACCUACCUUACACAGGGGGAUAGCCGUUGGAAACGACGAUUAAUACCGCAUGAGGCCACAGAAUCGCAUGAUAUAGAGGUCAAAGAUUUAUCGGUGUAAGAAGGGCUCGCGUCUGAUUAGCUAGUUGGAAGGGUAAAGGCCUACCAAGGCGACGAUCAGUAGCCGGUCUGAGAGGAUGAACGGCCACAUUGGAACUGAGACACGGUCCAAACUCCUACGGGAGGCAGCAGUGGGGAAUAUUGCACAAUGGGGGGAACCCUGAUGCAGCGACGCCGCGUGAGCGAAGAAGGUUUUCGAAUCGUAAAGCUCUGUCCUA
rnacentral:rRNA from 1 species